AAAUUUGAAUUUCAUGCCCAAAUGUGUGUGGGGGCGAUCUGUUCUGAUGCCACCUUUUCCCAAGUGAUAGAGAAGGAGGGAACAAGACAAAUAGGUCAAGCAUCUUUGCCAUUUGCAACUCGGUCUACAAUCAGUCAUUCAAUUGUGAAGACAUGGGUCAUGAUAAAACCCACUUUACAAAAUUAAUGUAAGAUGUACUGCAACAUUCCACACUGACAUCAAAUUACGUUAUGUUUUUGCCAUUCUCCAAAUAUAAACCUUUGGAAGAGGAUGCAAAUUUAGACGUAGAUUGCUGCUGAUUCCGUAAGUUAUGUUUCUUAGAGUGAUGACUGCCUCCUUAUUCAAGUGGUCAUGAAAUUUGUUUAAUAUUCUGUUCUUGAAUUUGAAAAGAAGUUAAUAUCAACUUGACUAUCCUGUUUUGUUUUGUUUUUUAAGAAUUGUUCCUCCGACCCCACUC
rnacentral:lncRNA from 1 species